GACACAGGCACCGGCUUAGAGACCUCAGUCCCCCGGAGGAGGCUGGUCUGUGGGCAUCUUAGGACAUCCGUGAGAAGGCUCCAGAUGGAAAAUGCUGGAGGGCCCAGGUUUUCAGGAAGGCACCUCCUCACCUUUCAGUCCGGGAGAACGUGUUCCAGCAAAGCCAGGGAGAGAGGCUCGCCGGCCCAGGCCUCUCCAGCUUCUCUUAAAGGCGAAAAGAGAAGCUGAGGACCCCGCACGCUCCCCAGCGCAUAGAGCUGAAGCCACGACCCCAAGGAUCCCAUCCAAGAAACCCUAUUAUGUUCAGUCAUCAGGUCUCCUUGGGCUCCUCUCGGCUGUGAUGGUUUCUCAGACUUGCCUUGUUUUUGAUGACCUGGGCAGUUCUGAGGCGUGCUGGUCAGGUGUUUUGCAGAAUGUUCUUCAGCUGGCAUUUGUUUGCUGAUUUUCCUCAUGAUGAAACUAGGGUCACGGGUUUGGGGGAAGAAAACCACAGGGAUAAGGGGCCAUUCUCGUCACAUAUCAAGGGCACAUACUGUCACCAUGACUUCUCGUUGCUGACGCUGACACUGACCCCCUGGCUGAGGCCGUGUUGGUCACUGUCCAGUUCCUCCUUUGGCCCUUUCCACGCUGUCCUCUUUGGAAGGAAGCACAUACCUCUCUGCACAGCACACACGGAAGGGCUGGGGAGUGAGGCUCCGCUCCCUGGAGGCUGAGUGUCCACCUGAUUCGGGAUUCGUCUGCACAGUUCGUCUGUCCUCCCUCGUUUGUGUCCCUCUCCAGUCACCGCUUUCCAGCGCUAUGGACUCAGGGAUACUUCCUUGAGGCGCUGGGUUAUCAUCCACUACUACUUCAUUCUGUUGCUCAGGCCUUUCCAGAUGUGGCCACUGGAGGCGCUUUCCAUUGGCUCCUGCGUCCCUCUGAUCUAUCUCAUCGCUGUGCUUUUGUGGAGCGCAUCCUUCUGAUACGAAGACGCGCCAGACUCCAGCUGUAUAUUCCCUGUCCUCGUCCUGCAAUCAGUCAUUUCUCCCAGGAGCCCUGGUUUCUCUCAUGACACCACGGUGUUAAAAA
rnacentral:lncRNA from 1 species